GACGAACGCUGGCGGCGUGCUUAACACAUGCAAGUCGAACGGAAAGGCCCUGCUUUUGUGGGGUUCUCGAGUGGCGAACGGGUGAGUAACACGUGAGUAACCUGCCCUUGACUUUCGGAUAACUUCAGGAAACUGGGGCUAAUACCGGAUAGGAGCUCCUGCUGCAUGGUGGGGGUUGGAAAGUUUCGGCGGUUGGGGAUGGACUCGCGGCUUAUCAGCUUGUUGGUGGGGUAGUGGCUUACCAAGGCUUUGACGGGUAGCCGGCCUGAGAGGGUGACCGGGCACAGUGGGACUGAGAUACGGCCCAGAGUCCGACGGGAGGCAGCAGUGGGAAAUAUUGCACAAUGGGCGGAAGCCUGAUGCGACAACGCCGGGUGCGGGAUGACGGCUUUUGGGGUGUAAAAAGCUUGCGCCUGUGACGAAGCGUGAGUGACGGUAAUGGGUAAAGAAGCACCGGCUAACUACGUG
rnacentral:rRNA from 1 species